rnacentral:rRNA from 1 species
UGUCUAUUAAUUGUAGACCAGUAUGAAAGGCAAAAUGAGGAUCUGUCUGUCUCUUAUAAUAAAUCAAUUAAACUGAUCUCCUAGUAAAAAAGCUAGAAUACCCACAUAAGACCAGAAGACCCUGUGAAGCUUAAACUAAACUAUUAAACCCCAUAAUACUUACUUUCGGUUGGGGCGACCCUGGAAAAAAAAAGAACUUCCAGACACAUGACUACAACUCACACACUAGGCCCACAAGCCUAUAAAUUACGACCCAGUAUUACUGAUAAUCGAACCAAGCUACUCCAGGGAUAACAGCGCCAUCCUCUUCAAGAGUCCAUAUCAAAAAGAGGGCUUACGACCUCGAUGUUGGAUCAGGACAUCCUAAUGGUGCA